CUGGGUCGUCCCAUGCAAGUUUCUAGUUUCUAAAGUUUCAAAAAAGAUACAUUUAGCAAACUUUGCGAAAUUCCUGACAAGCAUAAAGAGCUCUUGAUACGUUGGUCUGGUGUCCCUGUAAAUCACAAGAGAGGUAAACAGAAUUGAGUUGAAUCAAUGAUUUGUCGGCGGGAGACUUUGAAUUUGCGCGGGCUGUCCCAGAAGAGUUUUCAAAAACGCUUUGCAGAUCCCAAGACGACAUUUUAUAUUGUUUCAUUCUCUCCAUUCGCUGGUCUCCGUGGAAUGUGGACAUAUAAAUACUUUGGAUCUCCAUCUGCUCGUUCUUUGCCUUUCAAGCUCAGUACUCGAAAGUAGAUCCAUAACACCUUUAGGCAAAUUUAGGCCCACAAAAUGCAACAAACUUGUAGCUGAUAUCAGGUACGUUGUUUGUGUAUUAUUGUAGAAGGAUUACCAAAUAAUUUAGGGAUAUUAUUUUAAAAUUUAAUUUGAUAAUUGCAAUUUUCUAGUUUCUAGUUUUUUCCUUGAAAUCUUAACAUUUUGUCUUUAUAAGUAAUUGGAUAUAAUUGCUGUCAAAGGAUGCUCAAGAGUCAAAAAAAGUUUUAGCCUAUUUCAAAUUCUGACAGUGUUUUGGCAUCAUAAGUGAAUAAAUAUAUUUCGGAAAUGUUUGAAAGUUCAGUUAUAUGAUUGGAAAAAAAUUCAAAGAAAAAUUUGGUUUGAAUUUUUGAUUAAUUUUCUGGUAAGGAAUAAUUUUCACAUCUGUAAAAAAUGUACACAAGUUAAUUUCUGUUACAUAUAAAAGCACUUGUAGAGGUCAGCCUUGAUAAAACAUAGAACAAUGCAAUGCAAUCAUUAUUUGAAUUUCUUAAACUUUCUCAAAUUUCUAUGUUUUGUCAAAAAUUCAAGCAAAUUUAUCAUUGACUUAUCUUGAAACUGAAUCCAUUUUCAAGAAAUUAUGUCUUGGACGUAAAAGUUUCAAUUGCCCCUUGGAUUUACUUAAGUUGUUUUGACUUGGAUUUGAUGGUGUUGAUUUGGAUCUGUGUUGAUGGUGGUUAUGGUUUCGUAUUUAGGGACUGGUGCUUUUGUGGUUUCAUGAAGGUGGAAGUUGUGGUAGUUAAGACAUCUUUGGUAAUCCAAGGGGCAUAAUCACAAAUACAUUAAUUUUUUCCAAGUUUAGAAAAUGGAUCUGUUCCAUGAAAAGUCAUCUUGUUAACAACAUAUUUGCAGCAAAAAAUUUGAAAUCCUUUGAUAUCUUUUUUGGCAUUUUAAAACGAACUAUUUGAAGAAUCCUUUGAUAUCUUUUGUCAAAGUUACUCGCAUCAAAUGGUACCAGUGUUCAGAUUAAAAGAUAUUUGAACUUGAUAAAUGCUGCUUUCAAUUUGCACAUUAUCAAGCAAACACACUUUUCAAUUUCUCAGUACUUUUGUUUGUACAUGUGAGGCAGCAGAGUGCAACUUCAACAUGAUAAGCUGAAACUUAACUAGCUAGGUACCCAGUUUGUACCUUAUUUUUCUGUCUCCAGAUUUAUCAAAACAAACAUGAAGUUUGGGGUUAUUUCCAGGCCAUUUCACUUCAAAAUUUCAGAUAUAAUGGGUCUAUUUAAUUUACUCAAAAGAUUUACCCAAGAGAAAGUAAAUUUGUUGAUGCAUUUUCAAAGAACAGAAACUGAGUUGCUUAUUCUUUGACAAUGUUGCAUUAGCAUUUCCUCAAAGCAAUGGAAAAUAUGCCUGAUUAAAUAUAUGCAAUCAUAAUUUUGUUUGCACUAUUAUCCAUAAUGUAUGAAAUAUCUUAAAUCUUAGAAUGAGACAACACUUUGAAAUAUUGGUGAACUUUUUAAUUCAAUUAUUGCUACAAAAUCAUCUCAAUAAAUAUAAUCAAUGUACUUAGAAACAUUUUGCAUUUGAGUAUUCCUCAUUUCUCAUUUCUUUUACUCUCUUCUUUUUCAGGUUUUAGUGCUCCUUUUUGACAAUUUUUGGAUCAAUUUUUCAACUACACAUAAAUUUUCUACAAAAUAUCUUGUACUCUAAUGAUUCUUUGUCCUACAGCUUUAAUAAGACACAAUUCAUUGACAGAGUGCAAAACAGAGAAUCUUUUGUUCAAUUCCUUUUGACCCUUACUAUCUUAAAUCAAACAUUUCACAUGCUGAUGAAGCAUAUGGACAUGGUUCAAAAUGUUAAUUGUCAAAAGGGGAUCAGAAAAAUUGCUGCUUCCAUAAGACAGGUCAUUGACAGAUGGCAAAAACAAAUGAUGUCCUAUUUGACUCACUUUUGACCUUCACCAUCUUAAAUACAACGUUUCACAUGCUGUUGGAGCAUACGGACAUGGUUCAAACUCAACUCUCGAGUUUAGAUUGGCAAGAGGAUAAGAAAAAUUGCUGAAUAUAAACAAAGCGUAAAAGAAGUGGAAGAAGAUUGCUGUUGAAAGAGAGAACUGAGGACAUGACAAGUUAAGUUUUAUUCUAUUUCAAUUUUUAUAUAUUAAAUAGCCUAAUGUGUUUUGGAAAUAUAUUUUAUAUCUUAACUAGGACUAUUUUUCAACAAUUUAAGUAGGCCUACCACUUGGAUUGUGUUUUUUAUCAAUUAAGAAGGCUAUGUGCUCUAAAACUGUUGCGAAUUAGCUGUGUCCUUAGAAUUGGCAAAAUGACAAACUGGCUCGACAAAAUUAGAAUGAGCCUUUUGGUAUAGAUAAUUAGCUUAAAAUUUAACAGCAUUCUUACUUUUCGCGGUAUCGUAAAUGGGUUAUUAAAUAAAAGUAUUUAGAGGUCUUAGCUUCAAAGAAAUUCUCUGAUUGUCAAUAUUUAUGUUAUUAUGAACGUUUUCGAAAUUAUAUUGACAGUUUUAAAAGUGUUUUAUGAAAAUUAGAGUGAAAUUUUUUAAUAAACUGUUACUCGACUUAUUUUGACAUGGCAGGGCUCUAGGCAGUAUAAGUAGGUACAAAAUGUGUCCAAUGUAGGGUUUAAGUAUCAGAGUAGGUUUCUUGGCAAAUAGAGAAGCUUAACUAGGUUGAGGUAAUUUUUAGAAGGUAGUAUUCAUUCUUAUAGAAAUUUGUUAUAUCUUGAAUGGUUUCUACAAAAGAGACCUUUGUUUUGGUACUUCUAAUAACAGUUAUUUCAAAGUGCUUGCAGAUAUUUCAGUCUCCAUUUGCUGGCCAUUGGUUUGAGGUUCUGAGUUGUUCGAUGAUAUGAUUGUGUUGGUAUGGUGGUUUGGUAGUCGUUGUAAUUGAUAAAUUGGUUGAUUUGGUGUUGAAGAGGCGACCCAGUACCGUGGAGAAUGUUUUACUGCAAGCACUAAAUCAAAAUCAAUUGCUAAAACGUGCAAUUUUUGAGAAAAAACGAUCAUAGAUGUCGAAGUACCAGCUUUAAAAAUUGACCCAAAAUGUAUCUUUAAUGUCUUUUAAAAGGAAAGGCAAGAUUACACCAAUCUUAUGGUCUAUCACAUAGUUUUAGUUAUUUUGUUCAUGUCCUCAUGUCUUUUUGGCGAAAAACGAAUAUUGAAUUAGUGCAGAUACUCAGUUCCCGAGAAAAAAGUGAAAAUCUAGAUCCCACUGCUUUCAUAGCAUAAAUAGGCUAAAGAAAUAUGAUGAAAUUUCAGGCACAAAAUGGAAAUUAUGGGAGGGGUGUUUUUUAAAUCUAAUCCAUUUUAAAGUAAAACCGAAAUAAUUAAAAGAAUCAAAAUGUUGUUUCUCAUCAAAGGUAGAACUUGACUUGCAUGGAGACAGUAGGUCUCUUGAGAAAAACAGAAACGUGAUUGCACGAGAAAUGGCACUCUUUUUUAUGCAGUGUGAAUAGAAUGCAAAGUGUAAUGAUUAUAGGCUUGGAUGAUUCCGUCGCUGAGAAAGUAAACAAGGAUAUCUAAGACUAACUUUUACCACGUGCAUGCAUUUCGGAUCUUGUAAUUUUAUUUAUUGCUUCAUGGACGAUUCUUCUUCGAUUUUGCUGGCUUCUUGUUUAUUUUUUGCAGACCGCAGCAAGAUUUGAAGGCAGCCAUAUUGCCGAAGCUGAAUUAAUUGUGAAGAUGGAAGAUACAAGAACACUAUAUCGAUAUAUUGGACUUUUAUUGAAAAGACUUUGUUGUUAGUUUGUAAUUUGCAAUCGGUACUUUCUCGCUAAUUUCGCUCGCAUCCAAAACCAAGAUUUUUGCUACAAGAGGUGACCCGAAGGAGCAUUGCCACAUAUAUUAUGAUAAUCAAGAUUUCGAUUCAAAGAAGCUAAGAGACAAUUUAUGACAUAUUAUUUUCGCACUGUGAAGGAUAGGAUUCGAAUCGAGUUUCCAGGUAAAGAAAUUUACACCUUGCAUAUGUACCCGUACCCUACAGGUAAUUUCAGUCAUUGUAAUUUUGCACAUAUCCACUUCCCGCACCCUCUCAACUAAGUCGAUUAGAGAAUAUAUAACCCCUCUUCGAAUCCAAGAUCUCUAGCUUAUAGAUAGACUAUUAAGCAUCCCCUCCAUUUUCAGUAGCUCAUUUUAGUAAAUUAAACCAUAAGAUAAUCGAUAUAGGACUGCUUACGACCCUACCCUUCUCCAUAGAACCCUCUUUAUCAUAAUCGUAGUUUAAUAUCGUAUUGCGAGAGAGUAUCGAUACUUCGUUAGGUUAAUAAUUUCUAGUUAGUCAUUUUGUAACAUUUGAAGGCAUAUUCUUCUAAUGGGUGUGAACAAGGCGCCUGUUCGCAUCUGUUUUUAGAAUAGGCUUUCCUCGUUUAAUUAGUUUGUAUUUGUAUUUUAAUGUAUUUAAUUAGUUGCUUAGGAGACUGUUUUCGGUGUUAUGUUAGUGGUUAUGUUAGCACGGUGUUUUAAUCGAGGGGUUAACGGGAAGGAGUUCUUCUCUUUUUUGUUGACCCUUUGCUUAAAACACCAUGUUAACAUAACCCCUAACAUAACAUACGAAGGGUUUUCUUGGCAGGGUGUUUUAAUCGAAGGGUUAACAAGGGGGAAUUCUUUUCCUUCUUGUUAACCCUUUGCUUAAAACACCAUGCUUAGACAAACCCCUUUCGAAAACAGUCUCCUCGGCACUUAGGUAGAACUUAACAUUGUAAGUAGAGUAAGAUCGCUUGAAUGAAGAGGAGAAAAUCGAGCAAAAAUUCUUUCUGACCCCCGUCUUUUGACCGGUCCAAACGAGGCUAUAACCCCCCGUCUUCAGUGGGCAUCAAAACGAGGCAGAUCGGGUUGAAAUGAGCGAAUCUGAUUGGUUUAAAACAAUUGAAAAGACAAUAGAAGUAUCUAAAUGAUGAUUGGUCAGAGAACAAUAGAAAAUUUGAAUUGAAGGGCUCUGAUUGGUUAGUCAACAAUAGAGUGAGACCGAAAUGGCUCAAUUUGAUUGGUCGAAAGACAAUGGUGGCCGCCAGUGGCCGCUGUUUCCUAAAUUUUCGCUAUAUUCUAGGUGACGGCCCUCGCCCGCAGCCACCAAAAGGGCUCAAAUGGAGCAAUCUGAUUGGUUGAAAACAAUGACCUGUCAAUCAUUUACGGCUCCCAGCCGCAUUUUUAGAGCCACCGUUUAGGGGCAUGGCCGCCGUAUAAG